rnacentral:rRNA from 1 species
CAAUAAGCGGAGGAAAAGAAACCAACAGGGAUUGCCUCAGUAACGGCGAGUGAAGCGGCAACAGCUCAAAUUUGAAAUCUGGCGGCCUCUGGGCCGUCCGAGUUGUAAUUUGAAGAGGAUGCUUUUGGCGAGGUGCCUUCCGAGUGCCCUGGAACGGGACGCCACAGAGGGUGAGAGCCCCGUAUGGUUGGACGCCGAGCCUCUGUAAAGCUCCUUCGACGAGUCGAGUAGUUUGGGAAUGCUGCUCAAAAUGGGAGGUAAACCCCUUCUAAAGCUAAAUACUGGCCAGAGACCGAUAGCGCACAAGUAGAGUGAUCGAAAGAUGAAAAGCACUUUGAAAAGAGAGUUAAACAGCACGUGAAAUUGUUGAAAGGGAAGCGCUUGCGACCAGACUUGUGCUCGUCGAAUCAGCCGCCGCUCGUCGGCGGCGCACUUCGGCGGGCUCAGGCCAGCAUCAGUUCGCUGCAGGGGGAGAAAGGCGAUGGGAAUGUGGCUCUUCGGAGUGUUAUAGCCCGCCGCGCAAUACCCCUCGGCGGACUGAGGACCGCGCAUCUGCAAGGAUGCUGGCGUAAUGG